UCCCCCUUAGCUCAGCGGUAGAGCGCUUCACUAGUAUCUUCGGGGAAAAGUCCGUGUUAUCAUGAAGAGGUCAGUCGUUCAAGUCGGCUAGGGGGAA